GACGUAGGGCGCGAGCGUUGUCCGGAUUUAUUGGGCGUAAAGAGCGUGUAGGCGGCCAUACAGGUCCGUUGUGAAAACUCGAGGCUUAACCUCGAGACGUCGAUGGAAACCGUAUGGCUAGAGUCCGGAAGAGGAGAGUGGAAUUCCUGGUGUAGCGGUGAAAUGCGCAGAUAUCAGGAAGAACACCCGUGGCGAAGGCGGCUCUCUGGGACGGUACUGACGCUGAGACGCGAAAGCGUGGGGAGCGAACAGG
rnacentral:rRNA from 1 species